CCAGCAGGACCCAUUUCCUGCCAAUGGUUAUGAUGUGACUUACAGCACUGUUGUCCCCAAGAGGAGGAACCAGCUAAAUGUACAGACCAAGGCAGAACCAGAUGAUAAUGUGGUCUACAGCUCACUAUCCCUACAGCUGGACCCAUUUCCUGCCAAUGGUGAUGAUGUGACUUACAGCACUGUCGUCACCAAGAGGAGGAACCAGCGAAAUGUACAGACCAAGGCAGAACCUGAUGAUAAUGUGGUCUACAGCUCACUAGCCCUACACCACACAGCAGAGGGCAGCAACACACAGUGACUGACUGAGUGAAGAUCUUGGUCCUAAAGAGCCAUUAUCCUGGAAGGAUAGCCCACCC